ACGCUGGCGGCGUGCUUACACAUGCAAGUCAAGGGGGCCCGCAAGGGCAACCGGCGAACGGGUGCGUAACACGUGAGCAACCUGCCUUCGAGUGGGGGAUAGCCGGCCCAACGGCCGGGUAAUACCGCAUACGCUCUUCUGGGGGCAUCCCUGGGGGAGGAAACGUUUACGGCUCGGAGAGGGGCUCGCGGCCUAUCAGCUAGUUGGUGGGGUCACGGCUUACCAAGGCGACGACGGGUAGCUGGUCUGAGAGGAUGGCCAGCCACAUUGGGACUGAGAAACGGCCCAGACUCCUACGGGAGGCAGCAGUGGGGAAUCUUGCGCAAUGGCCGAGAGGCUGACGCAGCGACGCCGCGUGGGGGAUGAAGCAUUUCGGUGUGUAAACCCCUGUUGCUCGGGACGAACGACCUUUUUCGAGAGGUGUGACGGUACCGAGUGAGGAAGCACCGGCUAACUCCGUGCCAGCAGCCGCGGUAAUACGGAGGGUGCGAGCGUUGUCCGGAAUCACUGGGCGUAAAGGGCGCGUANGUGGUUGGAUGCNCCGGUGGUGAAAGCGCAGGGCUCAACCCUGCGUCGGCCAUCGGGACGGUCCGACUGGAGCACUGUA
rnacentral:rRNA from 1 species